rnacentral:rRNA from 1 species
ACGCUGGCGGCACGCCUAACACAUGCAAGUCGAACGAAGUAGCAAUACUUAGUGGCAGACGGGUGAGUAACAUGUAGGUAUCUUCCCUUUGGCCUGGAAUAACACGAGGAAACUUGUGCUAAUACCGGAUAAGUCUUUACAGAGAAAGCUUUAUGCACCAUUGGAUGAGCCUGCACUUGAUUAGUUUGUUGGUGGGGUAAUGGCCUACCAAGACUGUGAUCAAUAGCUGAUUUGAGAGGAUGAUCAGCCACAUUGGGACUGAGACACGGCCCAAACUCCUACGGGAGGCAGCAGUGGGGAAUCUUGCACAAUGGAGGAAACUCUGAUGCAGCGAUGCCGCGUGAGUGAAGAAGGCCCUUGGGUUGUAAAGCUCUUUCGUCGGGGAAGAAAAUGACUGUACCCGAAUAAGAAGGUCCGGCUAACUUCGUGCCAGCAGCCGCGGUAAUACGAAGGGACCUAGCGUAGUUCGGAAUUACUGGGCUUAAAGAGUUCGUAGGUGGUUGAAAAAGUUGGUGGUGAAAUCCCAGAGCUUAACUCUGGAACUGCCAUCAAAACUUUUCAGCUAGAGUUUGAUAGAGGAAAGCAGAAUUUCUAGUGUAGAGGUGAAAUUCGUAGAUAUUAGAAAGAAUACCAAUUGCGAAGGCAGCUUUCUGGAUCAUUACUGACGCUGAGGAACGAAAGCAUGGGUAGCGAAGAGGAUUAGAUACCCUCGUAGUCCAUGCCGUAAACGAUGUGUGUUAGACGUUGGAAAUUUAUUUUCAGUGUCGCAGCGAAAGCGAUAAACACACCGCCUGGGGAGUACGAC